GGAGCCGAGCCCAGGCCCGAGGCAGAGCCUGUGCGACGAGCGUCACUCGCCAGGCCCCACAGCCCACGCUCCCGCCGGGAACCCGGGGGCAGGGAACCGAGUCAAUGGCAGCAGAACGGCAGCCAGGGCCUGGCAGAAGGCGUCAUGCUGCAGUCACUGGACUGUGUGCGCGGCUUUUGGGUACUAGAUAACGUGGCCUGGAAAAGGAAGGGCAGAACCUUUCAUUCUGCAUAGACGAGGCAUUUGAAAGAGAACUGAAGGGGGAGGCACCCACUUCCCACUGAUUUUCACUGGAUUUGAAUCCUUCACACCCCAUAGAGCCCCUCUGAGAAUCCCACCCUGCGUGGGGUAUAGAAUUGCCCACACCACACCCACAAGCUACCCAGCAGUCUGCCCCUCUCCUGACCCCUUUUGGAUCAGAGCGUGCACACAAGGCACCAUGUGAGUUCUGGAUUAACCGCUUGCAAGACCAGAUCGGAGCACUGUGAUCGAGUGAGCUGGAGCUGCCCUGUGCAGGGCAUUUCCCCCAACAGAGCUUUUAGAAAACCAGCUGGUUGUGAUCUAAAAGUGGUCAGUGACGGAGAGUGCACCCCCACCCUUGGGAAAUUGGUCCCGGGGUUAAUUACUCACUGUGAAAAAUCCAGUCUGGAUUAGUCUAGAUGUCGAACUCUGAAGCACUCUGGGACAGCUGAGUGCUGAUUUGCCAUGUCCCUUGGAAAUAAAAGGAAGCUACGUUUCCCUCUGUA